UUUCCCCUUUCCAUGUAAUGCGGAUGCAAGUUCAUCUACUUCUUUUGACGUCAGAACGCCGAUCUCUGAUUGGCUCUGAUGGAAAGAUAGUGGGAUUAGAGCGGCCGAUAUCUGAUUAGGUAGUUGGUGGGGUAAAGGCCUACCAAGCCGACGAUCAGUAGCUGGUCUGAGAGGACGAUCAGCCACACUGGAACUGAGACACGGUCCAGACUCCUACGGGAGGCAGCAGUGGGGAAUUUUGGACAAUGGGGGAAACCCUGAUCCAGCCAUUCCGCGUGAGUGAAGAAGGCCUUCGGGUUGUAAAGCUCUUUCGCAAGAGAAGAAAUCUUACUAUCUAAUAAAUAGUGAGGAUGACGGUAUCUUGACAAGAAGCACCGGCUAACUAUGUGCCAGCAGCCGCGGUAAUACAUAGGGUGCGAGCGUUAAUCGGAAUUACUGGGCGUAAAGGGUGCGCAGGCGGUCUUAUAAGUCAGAUGUGAAAUCCCCGAGCUCAACUUGGGAACUGCGUU
rnacentral:ncRNA from 1 species